AGCAGCGGAAGAUCAAGGAUUGGGCCAAGCAUCACAGGAAGUAUGUCGUACAGUUCGCGCUUAGUGUGGAGCAAGCUAGGGAUGGAAAACGAGCCCAACUUCGUGAGCACUGCCCGAUCGCGUUCAACAACUAUCUCAUAUGGUUUCUUGCAAGUACCCGUGUGGAGGUAUGCAAGCCGGCGUAUGCUGAGGAGAUUUUGGAAGAUCCCACCGUUUUUGAUGAGCUAGCCCAGCACCAAUAGUCAGGAAAGGCAACUCAGUGAUUCCUUCAGCUCCAAUGAUGAACUUUGUGCGUGCCCAGAUCAAGAAAGCAACUGAUGAGACCGAGACUAUUCUGGAAACAACCCGGCUGGCAAAAGCGACGGGGAAGGUGCACUUAGAGCAUUCAUUAAGCGCCAGGGCCAAAAGUUAAGGCGGCUAUCAAACCUUUUAGGUUGUUGUGACCCCGAAUAUGUAUCACCAGAAUGGUCUAGGUCAGCGACACCAUCAGGUCCCACUUCGGGCCAGGGCCAUGGUGAUCCUUUGGAGGAUGAGGAUGUGGGUGUGAUCACCCAAGAGGUUAUUGAUGAUAUGACCUUGGGGACAUACCAGGUUCGGUCUGCAUACCAGUUAAAGCCUAGGAAGGAAUCAACAAAUACACACCUGAAGACUUCACCCAAAGAGGCAAAAGGAUGGUCGGCACCUCGCGGAUGGCGGCUUUGGAUGACUAUUUGGAUGACAAUGUGGAUGACAUGGAGGAACCGGAGCCGGAGCCGGAGCGGGUUCCUCUUCCUAGGAAGGUGAAGAAGAUCUCCGUCAAGAGGGGGGAGGAGCCAAAAAGUGCUCAAGGAACUAGUCAUCGUCCUCUAUUUGUAAUGUUGAACUUGGAGUGGUGGUAGCUCUUAGUAAUGUGAAACUUAUUAUGUCGUUGAACUUGGAGUGGUGGUAGCUCUAUGUUAAAUUUGAAGUUGUGGCAUCUCUUAGUAAUGUGGAACUUGUUAUGUCGUUGAA